GCCCACUUGGUGAAACGGUAAACACAGCGCGCUUAGAACGCGCCGCCAAUUGGCUUGGGGGUUCGAAUCCCUCAGUGGGCAC
rnacentral:tRNA from 1 species